GGAUCCGUGGCGUAAUGGUAGUGUGUUUGACUCCAGAUCAAAAGGUUGCGUGUUCGAUUCACGUCGGGUUCA
rfam:Picea glauca, whole genome shotgun sequence.